rnacentral:misc_RNA from 1 species
UUGAAUAAACUUGAACAGGUUGUUGCUGAUCCUCUCUCUCAAAGGAGGAGGGUAUGUGCACACUUGUCAUCUUUAUUUCUCCAAAUUGUGCACUUCCUGUAGAUCUGGAAUUUGUUUAUUUGUGAAAAAUCAGAUAGAUUUUUUGAGGAUUGCUGGCAAUUUAUUAAAAGUCGUCAGCUUUUGCCUCUUGUAUUUCCAGAUCUAUGCUCUUAUUUUCACAAUGUUUCAGAAUGCUAGAUUGGGUCUUUUGUACCUAUAUAAGUUGAAUAUA